UACAAUAAAAAAGAAGCUGAAAUAAUUCUAAAAUUGCCAAGUAUGAAUAUAUCAUAAGAUUCAUACUUGGCAGUUUUAGAAUUAUUUCAGCUUCUUUUUUAUUGUACUUCAUA